CAAGUAUGAAACUAUAUGGGAAGAUACUAAUAUGUACCAAUGUGUGUUUUUUUCCUUCCUCUUUUCUUUGUUUUAUUCAUUUUCUCUAUUAUGUGCUGAGCACAAUUUAAAAGGGUGGAAUAUGUAUGUAUUUAACUUAGGGCGAUGGGUGUCGGCAAACCAACCUGUUCUGCCACUUUUUUUUUGCUUGAGGGUAUGUGCCCAAUAGCAAGAUGGCUGCGGUGAGAGUGGAAGUGAUCCUGAUCACCCUGAUGAAAGGAAGGUGAG